UCGAUGCGCCAUCUGAUAGAAAAUUUUGUAAGCUUUGUCACUUUGUCGAGAACGAAUGUAUUCUGAUAGGUUAGUACAUUGAAAAUGUAUCUCUAAAAUGUUAAAAUGUACUUACUUUGUCUAUUCCCUGUAGAAUGUCGAUAAUGGAGAGAACUGUACAUUUGAUACAUUUAGUUACGAAAAAAAAAAAACCAAAGAUAGCAAAUAUUUAUAACGAAAAGAAAGGAUCAAAUAUGUAAAUACAUUACGUAACGGCUCAUAAUCCAUCAUGUUAAUGGAUAUAAUCCAAAUGAAAAAUAAAGAAAAAGGAAUGAAAAAUGAAAACACAAAAA